UUUCAUUGGUAUUAAUAGUUAAGAUCUUUAAAUUAAAAGAAUUUGACGGUAAUUUAUCAUUUCAGAGGAGCCUGUCCUAUAAUCGAUAUUCCACGUUAAAUUUUACCUUAAUUUUUGCUUAUAUACCUCUGUUGUUGGAGUGUUUUAUUAGAAUUUAUUCUCUUGAAUUAUUUUAUAAUUUAUAUCAGGUCAAGGUUUAGCUAUAUUAAGGAUGAGAUGGGCUACAUUUAAUUAUAUUAUUGGAUUUAUAUAUUUAUUUAUAUAUUUGAAAUUGGAUUUGAUUGUAAUUUUUAUUAUAUAUUAUUUAUGAUACUUGUUCUAGAUUAAG
rnacentral:rRNA from 1 species